rnacentral:lncRNA from 1 species
AAAAUCCCAAUUCCUCCGUCCAAAUUUCUCCCGAGAGCCCCUCUCUCCCUCCCUCUUUCUCCAUAAUUGAUCCUCCUCUCUCCUCUCCCUCUCAAUUUUCUGAUUUCACUUCUGUUAAUUCCUUCUUUCUCUUUCUCUAUGUUAUGUUAUGAACAUAUACAAACAUGUUCCCGUUCUUGAUCGUGAAAUUUGUAUUUAGACUCACCUGCAAUGGCGGAAAAGAAAUUUCAACUAAAGUUUGUAGAAUCGGGCGAAAUCUCUCUGUGAUUGGGCAACUCCCAGAUUGUAGUAUUAUGGAGCACCAAAGCAUCAGCAGUACACACAACCCUCUUAUCUCAUUUUAUCCGAUAAUCCUCUCAUGAUUCUCAUUUCCCUCUCUCUCUCUCUCUAUAUAUAUAUCUAUGGCUAUAUAUAUAAGUACGCUUAUAUUUUCAUCGUUCAAGACAUGGCCAAUCAUCAUCGACUUCAUCGUCAACAAAACUAUAGAAAUCAAAGAAAUCAAUAAUUCAAUAAAACCCUAACAGGUGUAUUCCUAAUUUGAUUUUGGGUCAUAUGGAUUUUCAACAACCCUACACAAAUUUAUUACUGACCUCUUAGUUGAGAACCUUUUAAUCUACUACUGAGAAAUCUUGAUAAGCUUGUUUUCUCUUACAGCUAUUUUAGGGCAUAGCUCCUUCAGUAGGAAACCCUUAUUCACAUUUUCAUUUCGUGAUUUUGAAAUUUGAAUAUUCAUAUGUAAGUAUUUAAAUUGUUGCUUGUUACUUUGGUAUCCUUACUUGGGUAGUGCUCAAUUCAUGUUCCUUUCAAAUCACUUCCCAAGUUGGACAAGAAAAAAAAUAUCAGCAGAGCAAUUGUAAAUGUUGUCUAAAUUUAUUUGCAUUUGCUGUUUCAUUAAUCUUCAGAUAUUUUACUGUUAAUAAAUCGAAUUUCAAAUACUUAUUUUCCCACUACCUCUCUCACUAAGAAAAGGACUUUAUGUUAAAAAAUGCACGUAUUAGUUUUGUGCUCUCUAGCAUGUAGAUUGAAGUUUUACAACUCUUCUUGACCUGAUCAUGACAUCAAUUCAUGCAGUAAUCAUUUUAUGAUGGAGAUACCACAAAUGCAUAUGAUAAUGCUUACUAUGGGAGUGAGGGAACUUCUUCAAAUUUUUGUUUAUAUGUAACGUGACCAACUUAAAGCAUUGAGCAUCCUAAAUUUCCUCCAGCAUUAGUUCCCUUGGUUGAUAUGGUGAUUGUUGACUCUUAUCAUGUUUGGUAUUUUGCCCAAAAUAUCCUAAUGAUAUCAACGCUAGCCACAAGACUAUUUUGCAUAAUUCACAGUUUGGUCAGUUUAAGAUCCGAGCAUUCUCAGUAUUUUUUCUGUGAUUAUGAAUAUAAUUGAGUUAAAACAAGAGAAUUAAAACUGUUCCCCUCUGAUUUUGACAUAAUAAUAUCUCCUUCACCAUUGUCUCUGUUGUUUUUGUCAUCUAAAACAUGGGAAUGCGUAUAUAUAAUUAUAUUUCAAAUUCAAGAGUUUUAUUUUUUGGAUCGCUUAGCAUAGAUCGACUUGAUAAAGCAUCAUGAACUCUUGCUCGGAUGUUUGACAGCUGUUAUUCGUGCAGAGCCCAUUCUAGCAAGAAGAAUUAAUCCGGGGAAAACCUAAAGGAAUUAACAAGGCUGAGAGGGAGAAAAUGAAGCGUGAGCAUCUCAAUGACCUUUACCUUGCGCUGGCUAAUGCUCUUGGUAAUCUCGAUUUGCAAGAUAUCACUUUUAUUGCAAUUAAAUUGUCCAAUUAACUUCAGUCACCAUUAAAUGCACUGGCAACUUCAAAUAAGACUCUCAAUAAUAUAUACAUGCAUCCUUUUUCUAGAAGUGUCAGAGCAGACCAAUGGAAAAGCCUGUAUAUUGGGUGAAGCUAUUCGAAUGGUAAAAGACACACUUGAGCACCAUAAAAUUUUAUGUAAUUUCUUUAACAAAUCCCUACGUAUCAAUCUUCCAUUCUAUAAAUUUUCCUCUCAUGGUAACCUGAUUAUCAAUUAGCCUAUAUAUUAUUAAUACUAUAAUUGAACUUUUCAAUUAACAGGUGACUAGCGAGAAGAAUGAGCUACAAGAUGAGAAUUCUGCUCUGCAAGAUCAGAUAGAAAAAUUACAAAAUGUGUGAAAGAGAGAUGCCUCAGUUAAACCUGGACCUAAAUAUAACUCCACCUAAAUAUUGUAUUUUAUUUUUUUCCCUGGCUGGUUUAUUUUUUGGUUUCAAGGUCUCAAUCUUUUUGAGUCCUGGAAUACAUUCAUUUUCCUUGUAUUAAACAUUACAUCCAAUAAAUAUUCUAGCCUAGAAUACAUUUCUUUUCCUUGUAUUAAACAUUACAUCCAAUAAAAAUUCUAGCGGCCUGACAUAAGAGAGAUAAGGCCUUUUCCUUGUUUAUUUUCUUUGUGUUUCCUUGUGUGAUAAGGCCUGUUUCUUUUCCUUGUGUGAUAAAGCCACAUUACAUCCGCUAGUUAACAUAGCAGACAGUCCAAGUCUAAUUCUAAUUUUGUUUGCGAAAGCCUUAAUGGGGGGCAUAAUUGACAUGUAAUCUUAUUUAUUCAGUCUGCUAGUUGAAUAGCGGACAACGGGUUUAAUAAUUAAAUCACAUCCCUUGAUUAUUGCAAUGGAAGGUUAGAA